rnacentral:rRNA from 1 species
GAUGAACGCUGGCGGCGUGCCUAAUACAUGCAAGUCGAGCGAACGGACGAGAAGCUUGCUUCUCUGAUGUUAGCGGCGGACGGGUGAGUUACACGUGGAUAACCUACCUAUAAGACUGGGAUAACUUCGGGAAACCGUAGCUAAUACCGGAUAAUAUUUUGAACCGCAUGGUUCAAAAGUGAAAGACGGUCUUGCUGUCACUUAUAGAUGGAUCCGCGCUGCAUUAGCUAGUUGGUAAGGUAACGGCUUACCAAGGCAACGAUGCAUAGCCGACCUGAGAGGGUGAUCGCCCCCCCGGGAAAGGACACACGGUCCAGACCCCUACGGGGGGCACCAGUGGGGAAUCUUCCGCAAGGGGCGAAACCCUGCCGGAGAAACGCCGGGGGGGUGAAGAAGGCUUUCGGAUCGUAAAACUUUUUUUUUGGGGAAGAACGUAUGUGUAAGUAACUUUGCACUCUUUGCCGGUACCAAAUCAAAAACCCCCGCCUAACUACGU